CCUUCUUUUAACAUUUGUUUUGUAUCUUCUGUUCCAUAAUGGUUUUGAUUGUGUAGUAGUUUUUACAUACCACUUAAUUUGUGAUGUACAUAAUAUUUAUGCGAAUCUAAGAAUCUGUCACAAUAGAAAAGGGUAGAAAUUACAGUUGGAAGGCCUGUUAGGGGAAUACAAAUAUUUAAACCCCAAAUGUUUUAUUCUUAUCUCCGCUAAUUAUUUUUUUUUUCAGAAAAAGCUAAAAACUGUAAUAAUUACUAUGUUUACUUAUUUAUACUUUUAAAUUAGGCUUUUUGUACUUAUUUAUUUGAUUUUUUUAGGACAUUUGCUUUUAAUAUUGUUUUCUCUUGUGAAAACUAUAUGAAUAUUUAAAAAAUAAAGUCCCUAAGAUAACACAUAUGUUUUUAAACAUUCACAAAUUAACAAUAAUUCUUUGAAUUUUUAUUAGGUUUUUUGGCUCCGGACAACUCUUUAACUUUAGGAAUAUUUCUCAAUUUCCACAUGAUUUGUUAAUAAAAACAGGAAAAAUAUUAAGCUUCGUAAAUACAGACUCAUGUGACAGCAUUAAAAGACUCGGGACCUCACUGUUCCUGUACAAGGACCUAAGUACUUCAUGGAAACACACAGAGGUGGACACGUGACAUGUCUGUUCACAUGGCAGCAGGGCAGCAGGCGUCGCCUUCGGUUAACACUGUGCGGACACAGUGUCCAGCGAGAUCACUAUGUGUUGUAAGUGUUUCGUUAAGAUUUUUGUUUCAGUGUCUGUCUCCCAGUAUUUUGAACCUAAUUUAAAGAAAAAGACGUUUCCAAAUUGUAUUUAUUAAAUGUGCUUUUCCUUACCUUUUGUGCGGCUACAUCACGAGCUUCAUGAGCUUAGCUGUGUCUGUGCAUAGGUUGUAGUUUGGUAAUAAAUUUCUAGAGUGUG